rnacentral:rRNA from 1 species
GCCAGACUCCUACGGGAGGCAGCAGUGGGGAAUAUUGCACAAUGGGGGAAACCCUGAUGCAGCAACGCCGCGUGAGUGAAGAAGUAUUUCGGUAUGUAAAGCUCUAUCAGCAGGGAAGAAGAUGACGGUACCUGAGUAAGAAGCCCCGGCUAACUACGUGCCAGCAGCCGCGGUAAUACGUAGGGGGCAAGCGUUAUCCGGAUUUACUGGGUGUAAAGGGAGCGUAGACGGCUGCGCAAGUCUGAAGUGAAAGCCCGGGGCUCAACCCCGGGACUGCUGUGGAAACUGUGUAGCUAGAGUGCUGGAGAGGCAAGCGGAAUUCCUAGUGUAGCGGUGAAAUGCGUAGAUAUGAGGAGGAACACCAGUGGCGAAGGCGGCCUGCUGGACGAUGACUGACGUUGAGGCUCGAAAGCGUGGGGAGCAGACAGGAUUAGAUGCCCGAGUA